GGACCUAUAGUAUAACCUGGAUUAGAACGCGACCUUGCGGAGGUUGAAAUCAGGGUUCAAAUCCCUGUAGGUCCG
rnacentral:tRNA from 1 species